GAGUGAACGCUUGCGGUAGGCCUAACACAUGCAAGUCGAACGGCAGCACAGUAAGAGCUUGCUCUUAUGGGUGGCGANUGGCGGACGGGUGAGGAAUACAUCGGAAUCUACCUUUUCGUGGGGGAUAACGUAGGGAAACUUACGCUAAUACCGCAUACGACCUUCGGGUGAAAGCAGGGGACCUUCGGGCCUUGCGCGGAUAGAUGAGCCGAUGUCGGAUUAGCUAGUUGGCGGGGUAAAGGCCCACCAAGGCGACGAUCCGUAGCUGGUCUGAGAGGAUGAUCAGCCACACUGGAACUGAGACACGGUCCAGACUCCUACGGGAGGCAGCAGUGGGGAAUAUUGGACAAUGGGCGCAAGCCUGAUCCAGCCAUACCGCGUGGGUGAAGAAGGCCUUCGGGUUGUAAAGCCCUUUUGUUGGGAAAGAAAAGCAGUCGGCUAAUACCCGGUUGUUCUGACGGUAC
rnacentral:rRNA from 1 species